UAAGUCUGUUCACUUCCUCACUAAAACGGAAUCGUUCCCGAAACCUCCCCGGAGUCUGCCGGUGUUUCCUCGCCAUCCUGUCCUAUCCCAGCCCCAGCCCCAGUCCAGGCCCCUGAACCUUGUUCCGUGAGCGGUCUCGUGGACAAAAACAACAAUUGGUGCCUGAGCAGGAACUCGCAUAUACUAGAAAGACCAAAACUUCUCAGCUUAGGCCACAACAACUGCUGUUGAACAACCCUGGAGUGCCUACUCAUUAGGAAAACACUGCUGAGGGCCUACUCUGUGGUAGACACGGAACCAGGAAGUGCACUUGCAGAGGUGCAUGCGCUGCACUCACAGGCUGCUAGAACACCCACCUAUAAUUCCAAGGGGCAACUUUGUCACUGAGGGACGUGCUGAGCACUGAAGCAACACUGAGGAGAGAAGACCUGCUUCUGCCUGAAGAGGGAGCAGGAAUCCAUGGACUGCUUAUGCACAGAGGCCUGAUGAGAUGAAAGCUAUGGUUUCGGAAGAAUUUACACGUUGGGUGUUACACAUAUGAGGUCAGUAACAGAGUGGAGAAAUCAGCGGGAAGAACAUUUCAGGACUGGACUUGAAAGGCUGAACUGAAGGCAGUGGGGAUGAACCAGAAGGGAUAAGUACCAAGGAAGAAGAUGGACUGGAUUUGCAAGAGUUUGUAUGCAAGGUGAAGACAGGGAGCAGCACAGGAUUACUUGAAGGCUUUGAGGAGGCUUGAUUGAUGGAGUGCUGAUACCAGAAAUAGAAAUGACAGAAGAGGAACUUGCUUCAGAGUGAAGAUGACAAAUUUAUUUUUAGGUGUUUGAAUUUUGAAGUGACAUGGCAUACCAAGCUAGAUAUGUACAUCUGUUGGUUGAAAAUAUGGAACUGUGAAGGGAGUUCAGGGCUCAGGAUAUAGAUUUGAGGGGUCAUUGAAUAAAAUUAAAGAUCACUUUAUUCAUUUGCCAU